rnacentral:rRNA from 1 species
UGGGGAAUAUUGGACAAUGGGCGAAAGCCUGAUCCAGCCAUGCCGCGUGUGUGAAGAAGGUCUUCGGAUUGUAAAGCACUUUAAGUUGGGAGGAAGGGCAUUAACCUAAUACGUUAGUGUUUUGACGUUACCGACAGAAUAAGCACCGGCUAACUCUGUGCCAGCAGCCGCGGUAAUACAGAGGGUGCAAGCGUUAAUCGGAAUUACUGGGCGUAAAGCGCGCGUAGGUGGUUUGUUAAGUUGGAUGUGAAAGCCCCGGGCUCAACCUGGGAACUGAAUCCAAAACUGGCAAGCUAGAGUACGGUAGAGGGUGGUGGAAUUUCCUGUGUAGCGGUGAAAUGCGUAGAUAUAGGAAGGAACACCAGUGGCGAAGGCGACCACCUGGACUGAUACUGACACUGAGGUGCGAAAGCGUGGGGAGCAAACA